rnacentral:lncRNA from 1 species
UUGGAGGCUGGACAAUUGGAUAAUUGUGGGUGGCGAAUCAAGAUUGUUGGAACGAAAAGAAAAGCAAAAGGUUGUCAAAAUUCGUCAAAGGUACAAUCUUUAUCACGAUUUCUAUCUAAACACAAAGGAAUCCUCGAUGGGAAUCGAAAUAAUUUUAAUUUUUUGCUGUGCAUGUAUAAGUAGAUUCCCAACACAUACUUCAUGAAGUUGCCUCCAUAUUUUCUAAUACAUUUUGAACUCCUUUCUGUUAUUGGAAAUAACCAAUAAUAUUUGUCUUGCUUUGGGGGGUUUUAGCUAAUUUUAACAAGGUUUGUGGAUAUUUGCAAGUCUUCCAGUUCUUGAAAUGAUAACAGGUCAGGGCUGACGUGCAUAUUGGGAAAGCUGCCUUGGCAUAUGUUGGAAAUUGUAUCAAAUGUUCAUGUGAAUGUAAAUGGAUAAUUUUGGCACGAUAUAUUUCUUGAUGUUACAUUUUCUUAAUUGCAUGUUUAAUAUCUAGAACCACAAGAAGACACCAUAGGCGUUUUGAACUAGUCAUAGGUUGAAUAUUCUCAAACCACCUUCCUGUGUAUAUUGUUAUAUUGAUUGAUAUUGGCAACGGCAACAGGUUGAGCAUUUUAUAUAAUCAAUACGUUUCAUUUAGUUUGUGAAAGUAAAUUGAACAUUGAUUGAUGAAAAACGAACAUUACAAUUGACAAAAGCAGAAAAUUACAAUUGCUGGUACAGGGGACGGACACAUGUGAGCUUGAAAGAUUUUUGAAUGACUAAUACAUCUUAUAAUAGCAUUCUGAACAAAAACCUAAGUGACAGCAGUAGACGUUUAAAAGACGAGAAAUCAUACUAAACGUUUACUAAUAUCAAAUCUAUUUUACAACUGAAAUAACUAUUACAAUGAAAAGAAAAUUACAACUCAAACUUGAAGUAAUAUUUACAAUGUGCGGCCGAAGUUGGGCAAACUGUGGCUGCAAUAGUGUCAAGGGGCUAAGUAAAGUUGUGAUCCUUGACACCCGGUCACGCUGAAGCGGGGAUUACAAGAAGGUUGUCCGCCAUUCCUAUAUCUUUUUCUCCUGCAAUAGUGUCAAGGGGCUAAGUAAAGUUGUGAUCCUUGACACUCGGUCACGCUGAAGCGGGGAUUACAAGAAGGUUGUCCGCCAUUCCUAUAUCUUUUUCUCCUGCAAUAGUGUCAAGGGGCUAAGUAAAGUUGUGAUCCUUGACACUCGGUCACGCUGAAGCGGGGAUUACAAGAAGGUUGUCCGCCAUUCCUAUAUCUUUUUCUCCUACGUACAUAAGGGUUCUGGUGUCUCUUUUGAAGGAUUGAAACUGACUCGUACAUUUAGAGAGUUCAAUUUUUCCUACUGAGG